rnacentral:misc_RNA from 1 species
GUAAAAGUUAAGAACCUCUUCAUGAACAUUGUUUAUUCCACUCUUGGACUUUUGAUCAUCAAGAUAAUGUUGAUAGACAUAUGAAACGAAGCCCCAAAUAGCCAAAACCAAGGCAAUCACCUUCAAACCAUUCAUUUUUUCAUGGAAAAUGAAGACAGCGAGCACCGGGCCGAUAGGCAGACCCAAAGUACUAAUGACAUUAGAGAAGAGUGAAGAAACUUCAAAGAUCAACCCAGUACACCCAAUAUUGAAAACCUGCCAACCUAUAGCUGUCCAAAUCAAAGUCAUGAUGUAGGACACAUUUCCCAGUUCAAAUUCCUCCAUAUCUCUCCUUAAUCCCUUCCAUUCUCCACUGGCAAAAAGUCCCACCAGGAUAGCCAGAGUGGCAACUAUUGAUGGAUACAAUAUCAUAUCCAAAACCACCUUGUAAUUUUCCUGUUUUAACACUUCCCUGAAACAGAAUUGUGUUAAAGAAAGUAUCAAUCCAUACCCAGCAGAAGCACCAAGUGUGCAUAUAAACCCAAUCACAAACUUCCCUCUUGAGAUUUUCUUUGAUUCUGUGGAGUCACUUUGGAAUACAAGGAGGGUAGAGGAGAUAGUAAGAAGAACUACAGAGUUGAUAAUGAAAGGAGUAAACUUCUGUGAAUUGAGGAAGAAGGAAAACAAAGCAUUGAAGCCUAAUUGUGACGCACAAAUUAGAGUAUAUGUAGACACUGGCAGGCAUAAGAGCCCAAGUGAAUAAAGCAUACAAUUUGCUCCUAGAAAUAUCCCAAAUAUGGCAUAAAUCAAGACAAGAACUAGCUUGGAGGGCGAGUUUGGUUUAAUAUUGUUUGAGGUGGGAUUUUUGAGUGGUGGUGUGAAGUAAAGGAGAAGGAUAAAUGGGAAGCCAGCAGUUUGCACAAAUGUUGCCAUCCACUUGCUGUUUCCACCUUUGUCAAAGUAUAGUCUUCCCAAGAUUGUAGCCACUGUCUGGCCUGCAAGAAGGAAGAAUGUGAAGAUGGCUAUUCUGAGCCACCAACCAAAGUUCUGCUGUAGGAGGAGUAUUGGCUGGUUGGCCACAUUUGUGUGCUCAGGUCGAGUUGUCUCUUCAGCUUCCUCCCCUGGCAAGGAAACACAUAGAACUUAAAUACAAAAUGCUCAACAACAAUUUUCAGAGAAGCUAGCGCAUGGUUGCAUUUCUUGGGAGUAUCUAAAUGUAGAAAUAGCAUGUCUCCUGAGCUAAGAGCUCUUGGAUUUUUGCUUUUUCUAAUUAAAUUGAGAUUGAUAACUAGGAAAUUAUUUCAAUUCAUAAGAUCUUCUACUUUAAACGCAAAAUUGUUAUUGGUUUUUAUCAGUUACCCACCCAUCUCUCUUGAGAUGACAUGAAUGAUUUAAAGAAAACAAAAUGAAGGGUAAUUUUGGUUAAGUAAAAACUUGCUUACCCAUGAUGUGUAGCUGCACUUCUUGAGCCUCUCCCAUGCAAAAUGAUCAGGCUUAGAUGGAGAGGGAAAGAGAAUUCUUAGUUUAUCCAAACAAAGAAGAAGAAAUUCACCGUAUACAAUUCUUGCUGCUGACCAGUUUUUACUUGGAAAUUAAACUAAAAUGUAUAAUUUUAGUUCUUGGGCAGUUGUCGAUCAAUGGUCUAUUUGGCACUGAUUGUCCCUGCUUGUCUGUUAGCAGAGAAUUAUGACUUAGUUUAUGAACCCUACAAGGCGUUGUCAAUUGGUUUGUUUGGACUUGAAUCCAAUCCGCCGGCCUUGUAGGCCUUUAAUUUUACCAGAAUGUCGUAUUAGAAUAGGUGGAGUUAAAAAAAAAAAAAAA